GACGAACGCUGGCGGCGUGCUUAACACACGCAAGUCGAACGAUGAAGCCGGAGCUUGCUCCGGUGGAUUAGUGGCGAACGGGUGAGUAACACGUGAGCAAUCUGCCCUUGACUCUGGGAUAACUGCGGGAAAUUGUAGCUAAUACCGGAUACGACACCUUGGGGCAUCCCAGGGUGUGGAAAGAAUUUCGGUCAAGGAUGAGCUCGCGGCCUAUCAGCUAGUUGGUGAGGUAAUGGCUCACCAAGGCGACGACGGGUAGCCGGCCUGAGAGGGUGACCGGCCACACUGGAACUGAGACACGGUCCAGACUCCUACGGGAGGCAGCAGUGGGGAAUAUUGCACAAUGGGCGAAAGCCUGAUGCAGCAACGCCGCGUUAGGGAUGAAGGCCUUCGGGUUGUAAACCUCUUUUAGCAGGGAAGAAGCGAAAGUGACGGUACCUGCAGAAAAAGCACCGGCUAACUACGUGCCAGCAGCCGCGGUAA
rnacentral:rRNA from 1 species